GAAGGAUGUCAGUGACUCAACACCUAAGAGAAAGUGAUCACUUCAUGGGUGGUUUGAAAACUGAGCAAACCACCAUGAGGAGAGGAAGGCAGUUGGCUUCCCAGAGGCUAGAGUAGCCUCUGGGUGACAGCCAGCGAGGAGCUGGGGACUUCGUCACUACUGCCUCCAAAAUUGAAUUUUACUAACAGCAAGAACAACAGUAGGAAAAAGCAACAAACAAUCUCAGAAGCGGAUUUUUCUCUGGAGCAUUCCGAAGAGAACUCACUGUGGCUGGACUCUGUUAUUUUAUAAUCUGAUCAAGGACCUCAGUCAUUGGCCAAGCUUCUAAACUACUUAAUGGUGUGGCAAUGAAUGAUUGCUAAAUUUUUGGUCAUUUCAAUCAAAAACGAAAGAAAUGUACUGCUCUUGGGUUGUCCGGGCAGUACUGUGGGCAGAGAUUCUUGACAGUAAGACAUUUGUGCUUUAUAAGUGUCCACUGCGGAGGUCUGUCCUGGGCACUAGAAAGUGUCUAGCAGCAUUCCUGGCCUCUAUCCUCUGCCUGCCAAGAAUAACCAAAGAACAACCAGAAAUGGGCCUCAUUAAAAUAAGAAUUGAAGAUGAUCUAUUCUAUACUACAAUAGAGGAAGAUGAGUUUAGAGGACUCAGACUUCUAAUAGAGUAACCUCUGAGUGUAGAAGAGACAACUUUCUAUACAGCAGAGUAGACAAAAAUAUAUGGCUGGAAUGAAGACCCUGAGAACAGUGAUGAAGAUGAGACAUGGAAAUCUUACUCAACAGGUCAAGUGGAGAGAAAUUCCGAGGCAAAUGAUGUUAGCAACUACACAACAAAGAGGACCUGUGUAUAUGAAUUAAACUACUAUAUGAAGCAACAAAUCCGAUAAUCCUGAAAUCUCAGAAUGUUCUUGUAUUAUUUCUUUAUCGUGGUAGAAGUUCCUCCUAUAUAGCCCCAGAGAAAUCCUAAUCUUUAUAGGUCAUUUGGGGUGAUUUUGACCACUUUCACUGACCUCUACUUGAGUGGACAAG
rnacentral:lncRNA from 1 species